AAGACAGAGAGAUAGAGAAGCACCAUCUUUAUAACGGCGGACGGAAGGCGCCCCUCGGCAUGCUACCAGACACCUGAUUCUCUCUCUGCUUACCGCUGACAGACUUCAGGGCGCCUCGCCUGCAUUUGCUCCCUUCCUCGAAAUUGCACCUUCUGUUUACAAAUCCCUUUUUGCCGUGGCUGCGCCGCUGCUUCGAUCGAGCUCGGCUGCCAUACACGAUAGAGCAUACAUACAUCCAUAGACGCACACGGACACCCACACGCGUACGCCGUCCCCCCCCUCCCUUGCCCCCUCAUACAAGACUGUGAACAUACAUCCUUCACACAUUGAGCCGGCCAGCUUCGUUUUCUGUGCACGGGCGCGCUGCCUUCGCGUGUGAACGCUUGCGCCGAUUUCUUUGCGCUUUACGUUUUUUUUUUUCGCGUUCUUUCUCGUGCCGCUUUCGCUACUUUUCAAUGCCGCACGCAGGCAAUAAGCUGGUGCCCAUCGGGUGCAACAUGAACGAUGCCGCCUACCCGUUUCGCGGGGAUCACCGUCUCGCCGACUGCAUCAAUCACGGUCACAGUGGCGUCGUCAAGAGGAUCCCGACAUCGAUUGCGAUGCGCAUCAGCGGAUCCAACUUAGUAAUCGAGGAGGUGAAAACGCCAAAGGGGGUUGAGUUAGAGUGCGAGUUGGGCGUUGACGGCGGCAUCGCGCGACCGGUGUCGCUGCAGCAGGCCUCCGCCUUCACGGUGCCCGGCGAUGGCCACGACUAUAACCUCAUCGCGACUGUGAAGGCCAGCGGCAACCCGAUGAAGCACUACUGCAAGCUCACCUUUAAUGGCAGCGAGGGUAUAAGUGUGCUGCGUAUGCGCGCGCCGGAGGGCUGCAGCCCAGAUGCGGUGUACAUUGUUGCCGAUGGCCGUCGGCUAAGACCCACGGCGGGGUGGUUCCGCAUUCCCAUCCACACGAAGGAGUGCGCUCUGGUCGCAAAUCUCCCGCUCGACGGCGCGCCGCCGCCGCCGCCGCCGCCGCCGCCUCCUCCUCCUCCUCCCUUUUCAUUCACCGCUACCCCGCCGCUGCCGCCGGCGCCCAGUGGCGGACUUGCUGAGAAGACGCUCGAGGCGACCACAGGGGCUCCGUUGACGGCAGGGAACGUGCCUGAAUUGGAGACGCGCAUUCAUCCCCCCCUCAUUCCUAACGCGGGAGCGGUGACCCUCACGGAGCCCGUUUCUGCCGCGAUGCCCAGCUUUGUCGCGACGGCGCCGGGCUUCAGCCUUCAGCUGACCGGGGAAAACGGCAGCUCCGCGUUUGGCGUCGGUGUCGCCGCACUGCCGCUGAGCCACCGCCGAGCGCAAACGGUUCAGAUCGUGGUAAGCGACGCGCAGGGGCGGGUGUUGCUGCGGCAGCGAUCGCAUGUGCCGUCGCUGGAGCCCGCGGCAGUCUCUCUAGCGCUGAAAGACGACGGCAAGGGUGGACUUGCCCUGAGCGCGAAUCCUGGCAGCAAGAUUACAGUCGGUGGCGUGCCGCAGGCGGAUCCUUCAGCCGCGGCUGUCUUGCCGCGCGUUGUGCCCAACGAGCGGUGGUGGAGCAGCCAAACGCAGACGGCUCUGUCUCGAAGGCAACGCUGGACGUGGCACCGACGUCUGGGCCCGCCCCCGUCUCUGUAGCCGUGUCGAAGCAGCCGCCGCCGCCGCCGCAGACACUGACGCUGCCGGAGGCCUGGGUGAAGGAGCUGUCUGAGGCGCUGCAAAACUCGAAUCCGGAUGAGCAGCGCCGCCUCGUGCAGAACAUUUAUCCUUCGUCGAUUCCUGGCAUGACGAUUGUGAAUUUUGUGCGUGAUCAACUCACCCGCCAGCCACCCGCCAUCUCCUUCACCGUCUCCAGCAACGGCUUGGAGGCGGUGCAGUGCCCCGGCUGCUCGGUCACUGCCGCCGUCGGCAACGAUCCUGCGCGCCAGAUUCCGGCCUUCGGGUCGGUGACGUUGGCGUCGGGAAAGUCGGCCUUGCUGACGGCGACAAGUACGUUGACGCACCGCGCCGUGUCUGCAUGCCGAGUGCAGAUGGCGCUGCCGAGCGCCGUGACCUUCACCAGUCCGACGGUCUCGGCAUACCCGCCGCACGCAGUGGCGGGACCGCCCAUGCAAGCGGUUCCCUCCGCAGACGAAAGGGCGGAUUCCGACGUGGUGAGCCGUCUUGUGGACUGUCUGUUGCGCCACAACCUGAGCGCGCCGCUGGUUGCCAAGGAACUCGACAGCAUGUCAACAGCCCCGUUCUCCGCGCAGGGGCGUCGCAUGCUUUCGCUCCUGACAAGCUGCCUACGCAGCGCUACUGCGAGCGGUGCGGCCGCUGCGAUGCAGGCUGCCAGCACUCAGGCCGCCGCGGUCGCCCACGCAGCACCGGAGGAGAUCUUCUUCACGUGUGGGCCGGGUUACGUGGACAACAUCUACACAACUCAACCGCAGUACCAGCUGUUUGGCGCCGUAGACGACCAGGCGCCGCAGAUGGUGCCGCAGCGCGGCCGGGUACCUGCGCAGGGCACCCUCGAGGGUGAGCACAAGCCCUUCUUCAUCCGCAUCACCGCGCGUGACCCGACAACAGGGGCCGUCAAGGUGGAGAAGACGGUCACGGUGCUCGGUGUUCGGCACGAAGCGAAGCCGACUCCUGCUGCCGUGGAAGCGCCACCACCCGCUCAGGUCAGCUACACCGCUGCACCGACUGCUGCAGAGACGCUGCCAGAGGCAUUCGCUGAGGAGCCGUUGCACCGGCUAGGCGCAGCAGCUGCUGCGGCACCUGCCUUCAUGCCAGAGCAGCAGCCGCCCCCGACAGCGCGGCAGCCGCGAUUCCAUACAUGGACGUGUCGCUGCAAGCAGUGGGCCAGGACGUCCAGGCGCGCAUCCUGUGUCAUCCGCAUCUCCGCAUCGUGUGCGACGUGGACGGCGUUGGCGGUAACACGGGCCGCUCCGACUUUGUGGCCAAGAUGCCGGCCACCCGCUUCCACCAGGUUAACUUCAGCCUCAUAGAUUUGCAUGGCCGCGUGGUGUUCCAGCAGAAGCUCGGCGUUCCAGCCAUGAUAUCGCCUCUGUGGGGGCUGGCGUUGCAGCACAACGGCCUUGCCGUGGAUCCGGAGGUGGGCGCCCUUGUGACUGCGUCGAUCGACCGAGCGCUGGAGCGAACGCUGCAGGGCAACUUUGUCUCCUUCGACGCGAGUGCGCCACACUUUGUGCACCUGCGCAAGUACCACGACAGUAUUCAUGGCGGCGCCGCCGGUGAAGUGUCGCUGCGCCUGCCUGGCCUGACACUGCCAGCGGAGCUGGAGGAGGUAACGCGUAUUAUGCGUCGUCGUGCCAACGGUGAAGCCAGCGAUCCGCAGAUCAAGACGGAGCUCGAGCAGUUGCGCGCUCGCUGCACCGCAGCUUCCGUUGUGGAGCUGAUUACCAGCAUCCUCGACGGCUGGCCUGCGACAGUGAGCGCGGAUGCGCGCACCUCCGGUCGCGACAGCCCGUCAAGCCGCAUCUUCUUCCGUUUGACCGGGACGGAUUGAAUGCGGAGAAGGAUGAGGGUCAACCAGCUGAGCGCGUCAGAAGUGAAGGACGGAGAGGCCGAACGCGCACACGGCGGCGGAGGGCUGCUUGUGCGUCUACCUUAACUGCCUUUGUUUGUCAACGCCCUCCUCUCUCCCUUUCAGCUUCCUUUCUCGCUCGCUAGUGUUGUUAUUACUUUCAUGCAUCGGCGUGCCUUUCGAGAACAUGUGCCUGAUAGACGUCUAGAUAGAUGACGGCGACACAGGUCCGUAUGUGUGUAUAUUUGUGUGUGUCUCCCUCUCUUUCUCUCUCGGCGGUCGAGUGGAACUUGCAUUCUUUAUCGCUUCCUGUUGUGUUUUGUUCGCCUUCAGGUUGCCGCCGUGUCGUGUCUCCUCCCUUUUGUUUUCGUGUGUGGAAGCCGCGCCAGGAGACUGCCCCGUGUUUUUUUUUUCGGUGGUCAUAUAUGCUGAUUCUCCCUGGACGCUCCCUUCCAGAGGACAGUCGACGUGCCCGUGCCCCCCCCCCCCGCCCCCUCCCUAUCCGAGUGUGGUGUGGACUAGAACGAAAGACAAGUGAAGA
rnacentral:misc_RNA from 1 species